GCGGGGAGGGGGGGCCUAACCCAUGCAAGGUUCGAGCGCACCCUUCGGGGUGAGCGGCGGACGGGUGAGUAACGCGUGGGAAUAUGCCCUUUGGUACGGAAUAGUCCUGGGAAACUGGGGGUAAUACCGUAUGCGCCCUUCGGGGGAAAGAUUUAUCGCCAAAGGAUUAGCCCGCGUUGGAUUAGGUAGUUGGUGGGGUAAUGGCCUACCAAGCCGACGAUCCAUAGCUGGUUUGAGAGGAUGAUCAGCCACACUGGGACUGAGACACGGCCCACACUCCUACGGGAGGCAGCAGUGGGGAAUCUUAGACAAUGGGGGCAACCCUGAUCUAGCCAUGCCGCGUGAGUGAUGAAGGCCCUAGGGUUGUAAAGCUCUUUCAGCUGGGAAGAUAAUGACGGUACCAGCAGAAGAAGCCCCGGCUAACUCCGUGCCAGCAGCCGCGGUAAUACGGAGGGGGCUAGCGUUGUUCGGAAUUACUGGGCGUAAAGCGCACGUAGGCGGACCGGAAAGUUGGGGGUGAAAUCCCGGGGCUCAACCCCGGAACUGCCUUCAAAACUAUCGGUCUGGAGUUCGAGAGAGGUGAGUGGAAUUCCGAGUGUAGAGGUGAAAUUCGUAGAUAUUCGGAGGAACACCAGUGGCGAAGGCGGCUCACUGGCUCGAUACUGACGCUGAGGUGCGAAAAGCGUGGGGAGCAAACAGGAUUAGAUACCCUGGUAGUCA
rnacentral:rRNA from 1 species